rnacentral:rRNA from 2 species
UGGGGAAUAUUGCACAAUGGACGCAAGUCUGAUGCAGCAACGCCGCGUGGAGGAUGACGCAUUUCGGUGUGUAAACUCCUUUUAUAAGGGAAGAUAAUGACGGUACCUUAUGAAUAAGCACCGGCUAACUCCGUGCCAGCAGCCGCGGUAAUACGGAGGGUGCAAGCGUUACUCGGAAUCACUGGGCGUAAAGGAUGCGUAGGCUGGAAAUCAAGUCAAAAGUGAAAUCCAACGGCUCAACCGUUGAACUGCUUUCGAAACUGGUUACCUAGAAUAUGGGAGAGGUAGAUGGAAUUAGUGGUGUAGGGGUAAAAUCCGUAGAUAUCACUAGGAAUACCGAUUGCGAAGGCGAUCUACUGGAACAUUAUUGACGCUGAGGCAUGAAAGCGUGGGGAGCAAACAGG